rnacentral:rRNA from 1 species
AACACAUGCAAGUCGAACGGAACCUUCGGGUUUAGUGGCGAACGGGUGAGUAAUACCUAGGAAUCUGCCUAUUAGUGGGGGAUAACGGCUCGAAAGGGUCGCUAAUACCGCAUACGUCCUACGGGAGAAAGUGGGGGAUCUUCGGACCUUACGCUAAUAGAUGAGCCUAGGCCGGAUUAGCUAGUUGGUAGGGUAAAGGCCUACCAAGGCGACGAUCCGUAGCUGGUCUGAGAGGAUGAUCAGCCACACUGGAACUGAGACACGGUCCAGACUCCUACGGGAGGCAGCAGUGGGGAAUAUUGGACAAUGGGCGAAAGCCUGAUCCAGCCAUGCCGCGUGUGUGAAGAAGGCCUUCGGGUUGUAAAGCACUUUAAGCGAGGAGGAAGGUCUUUGAAUUAAUACUUCAAAGAAUUGACGUUACUCGCAGAAUAAGCACCGGCUAACUCUGUGCCAGCAGCCGCGGUAAUACAGAGGGUGCAAGCGUUAAUCGGAAUUACUGGGCGUAGAGCGCGCGUAGGCGGUAUGUUAAGUCGGAUGUGAAAUCCCUGGGCUCGACCUAGGCAUUGCAUCCGAUACUGGCACACUAGAGUGUGGGAGAGGAAGGUAGAAUUCCAGGUGUAGCGGUGAAAUGCGUAGAGAUCUGGAGGAAUACCGAUGGCGAAGGCAGCCUUCUGGCCUAACACUGACGCUGAGGUGCGAAAGCAUGGGGAGCAAACAGGAUUAGAUACCCUGGUAGUCCAUGCCGUAAACGAUGUCAACUAGCCGUUGGGCUCCUCGAGGGCUUAGUGGCGCAGCUAACGCGAUAAGUUGACCGCCUGGGGAGUACGGUCGCAAGACUAAAACUCAAAUGAAUUGACGGGGGCCCGCACAAGCGGUGGAGCAUGUGGUUUAAUUCGAUGCAACGCGAAGAACCUUACCUGGCCUUGACAUGUCUGGAAUCCUGCAGAGAUGCGGGAGUGCCUUCGGGAAUCAGAACACAGGUGCUGCAUGGCUGUCGUCAGCUCGUGUCGUGAGAUGUUGGGUUAAGUCCCGCAACGAGCGCAACCCUUUUCUUUACUUGCCAGCGGGUCAUGCCGGGAACUUUAAAGAUUCUGCCGGUGACAAACCGGAGGAAGGCGGGGACGACGUCAAGUCAUCAUGGCCCUUACGGCCAGGGCUACACACGUGCUACAAUGGUCGGUACAAAGGGUUGCUAACCCGCGAGGGCAUGCUAAUCUCAAAAAGCCGAUCGUAGUCCAGAUUGGAGUCUGCAACUCGACUCCAUGAAGUCGGAAUCGCUAGUAAUCGCGGAUCAGAAUGCCGCGGUGAAUACGUUCCCGGGCCUUGUACACACCGCCCGUCACACCAUGGGAGUUUGUUGCACCAGAAGUAGUUAGCCUAACCGCAAGGAGGGCGAUUACCACGGUGUGGCCAAUGACUGGGGUGAAGUCGAAACAAGGUAGCCGUAGGGGAACCUGCGGCUG